rnacentral:rRNA from 1 species
UGGUGAAAAGAACCCCGGAAGGGGAGUGAAAUAGAAUCUGAAACCGUGUGCCUACAAUCGGUCGGAGCACAUUAAAGUGUGACGGCGUACUUUUUGUAGAACGGGCCAGCGAGUUACGAUAUAUAGCGAGGUUAAGCACUUAUGGGGUGGAGCCGAAGGGAAACCGAGUCUGAAUAGGGCAACUAGUUGUAUAUUGUAGACCCGAAACCGGGUGACCUAUCCAUGGCCAGGAUGAAGCGGAAGUAAAAUUCCGUGGAGGUCCGAACCACGUUGGUGUUGAAAAACCAUGGGAUGAGCUGUGGAUAGCGGAGAAAUUCCAAUCGAACUCGGAGAUAGCUGGUUCUCCUCGAAAUAGCUUUAGGGCUAGCGUCGGGUAAUUGAGUAGUGGAGGUAGAGCACUGAAUGGGCUAGGGGCUGACAACAGUUACUGAACCCUAUCAAACUCCGAAUGCCAUAUACUUGUACCCCGGCAGUCAGACUACGAAUGAUAAGAUCCGUGGUCAAAAGGGAAACAGCCCAGACCAUCAGCUAAGGUCCCAAAGUGUAAGUUAAGUGGGAAAGGAUGUGGGAUUUCUAAGACAACUAGGAUGUUGGCUUAGAAGCAGCCACUCAUUUAAAGAGUGCGUAAUAGCUCACUAGUCGAGAGAUCCUGCGCCGAAGAUGUAACGGGGCUCAAACUUACCACCGAAGCUAUGGAUGUGUACUAUGUACACGUGGUAGAGGAGCUUUCUGUACAGGUUGAAGUCAUACCGUAAGGAGUGGUGGACAGUACAGAAGUGAGAAUGCUGGCAUAAGUAGCGAAAAACAAGUGAGAAUCUUGUUGACCGAAUAUCUAAGGUUUCCUGGG